ACGCUCCUUCCAUAUAGCAAUCUUUCUCUCUUAUCUCUCAUGGUUGAGAGGACUAGAAUAGCACCAUUCACCACCUUAAUUCAUUAAACAACCACAAAACAACCCUCUUAUAUCAACCUUACUAACUUACAAACACAACGUUUUAAGAGCUCUAGAUAGUUGUCUGGUUUCCAAGUGUGCGAGGGUUGUUCUUAUAAAGGAUGUUUUCUCAUGGUGAUGAUACAUUUGGUUACAUGAAGAUCAAAGGGUGGUCUUGUUGUGGUUCUUCGCUACGUUUUGUGGGGCUGUCUUGCUACUGGUCUUCAAACAAUAGAAGGGAUAACUUCUAGUUCGUUUCGAGUCCCUUUUCAAAUCUUCGCGGGUAUGUUUUGAGUUUGUUUUCUUGGAUAAUUAAGCUACGGUGUUACAAAACUCUCAUAGCUCAAGAAUAUUAAGAGAUACAUGGUUGGUUUGGCUUUUUUGAAAUUCCUCACAUUCACGACUUGGAGCCUUAAAGACACAAGAGUUUUAGGUCCUUAAAUACUAGGAUCUUGGUUGCUUUCUUAUGGGUCACUAUAUAUAUAAUGCAACUAAAGCUUAAGGGUUAAAAAUAUGGAGUUAAUCUUAUUGGGACACCGUUAGUUUGGACUACCUUUUCUUACUCGACCCUCUCUCGUAUCAAUUACUAAGGGAACAAAUUACUCGGAGCAUAAGUAGAAGAACCAUGCUUUUUGGGAGUCACAUAUACAUUCACUAAAGAACAAAGAUUUUCAAGAGCUUUUCUACUAAGUUAUUCAUGUUGUAGAAUCUCUAGUAUAAGUUUAUAAUUACAUUUAAUGUAAGAUCUUGGUUUUUAUAUAAAUAAUAUUUCAAAACGUCUCGUUUAGAGAUCGUUUGUUAUAA